CUCCAUGCUUCCAUGGGACCUGCCAGUGUGGCAGCCUCCCUUCCUAGUCAUGGUAGAGCAGCCCCCGGCCUUGCCUUUUGGCAUAGCUCCCCCCCUUCAUUCAGAUGGGGCGGGACGCUGACUUGGGCAAGGCACAG